ensembl:lncRNA
UUAAAAAAAAACGUUUUAUUUAUAAACUCAAUGAGAAUGGCAUGAUAUAUGAUCAACAAUCAUUUUGUAAACAGGAUAAUAACCACCACAAGGAAAAAGAACUAAAUGUGACAAUGCCACAUAUCUAAGUGGACAUUUACAAUGACCAAAUAUUCUGGUAUUUCCAAACAUGAAGAUGUCUAUCCUCAAAUAGAUCCAGCUUGAUUGGUUCCUCUAAAACAGAAUUGCAUUUUGAAUCUCUAUGCUAUGCAGUAAUAAUGCUCUGAGUCAUUAUUAAACACCGCCCAAAGGCAAACUUGCUGGUAAAGAAGAGUGAGAUUUCUCAAGUCUAUCUUUUCAUAGCCAAAGUAUUCUUUAGUUACGUGGAUAAAUGAAGAUUAUAAGAGCAAAUGAUUUGAUAUUUUUAAAAGUGCACUAUUGAAAUGGUCAUCUAUAAGCAUUCAUGCAGAUCCACUUACAAAUGUAUACUCUGCACAAAGUUGGUUAAGAUUUGAUUUGUGCCAGUAAACUAAGAAUUCCAAAUAACUUGAUAUUAUUGAAGAUAUUGUACACAAUAUUGAAAACACAAACUUUGGUCAUUUUGUGUUUUCUGGGGGAUGGAUUGACAAUUUAUGGGUUUAAAGCUCCUAGUUCAUGGCUAGCUGUUCUUCACAUUGAAGUGAGUUGGCAAAGAAAUACAAAAUUGAAGCAAUCUACUAUGUACAUUGUUCCCUGAUUACCUAGAUGUAUUGUUUCCUUUAAUCAAAUUCAAGUUCAUGCUUCAUUUAUGCAGAGCGGCAUAGUUCAAGUGGCACUGAGAGUGGACCAAACUGAAGGGACUUAUUUCUAGUCUUUGGUCUACUGCAAGGGCCAAAUGUGAACUUCUGUAAGUCACUCCAAGUUUAUGGGCUAUAGAUUCAUCUUGUCUGUAAAAAAGGACAUUGCAAUGUGUGACAUAAACACUUUUCCAUUUUUAUUCUCAAAGAUUUGAGAUUUCUUGCAGAACAAAGUAGAAAGUCUCACCAAAGUCUUGCCAAAAACAGAAAAGAAAGGUCUAAAGUGCUGAAAAGCUCGACUUCUCAAAUUUUUCCUUUUUU